rnacentral:rRNA from 1 species
GAGGCAGCAGUGGGGAAUAUUGGACAAUGGGCGAAAGCCUGAUCCAGCCAUGCCGCGUGUGUGAUGAAGGCCUUCGGGUCGUAAAGCACUGUGGGGGAAGGAAGAAGAUCUGACGGUACUUCCUUAGCAAGCACCGGCUAACUCCGUGCCAGCAGCCGCGUAAUACGGAGGGUGCAAACGUUGCUCGGAAUCAUUGGGCGUAAAGCGCACGUAGGCGGCCCAGUAUGUCGGAUGUGAAAGCCCUCGGCUUAACCGAGGAAGUGCACCCGAAACUGCUGGGCUUGAGUAUGGGAGAGGGUAGCGGAAUUCCCGGUGUAGAGGUGAAAUUCGUAGAUAUCGGGAGGAACACCAGUGGCGAAGGCGGCUACCUGGACCAAUACUGACGCUGAGGUGCGAAAGCGUGGGGGAGCAAACAGGAUUAGAUACCCUGGUAGUCCACGCCGUAAACGAUGAGUGCUAGGCGUCGCGGGU